CUUCCUUCUUCCUUUUUUCCUAAGUAAGCUAACACAGGAUCAUGUUUCUUUUUUGGUUAAUUGCAGACUUUGAUCCACACAACUAUUCUCUUUCUUGGUCUGAAUUUUGGCAAACGACAAGCAAGGCAUAGAGAUCGCUUCAACUCGCUACCCGCGGCUCGCCCAGACGUUAGGGUUUUAGGCCGCCGUUAGACUUUGGCCCUGCAGGUCAAAAUCAGCUACUCUAGGCCUGUCUUCUCGGAGGCCAGUAGCAGCACCUGGUCCUCUCCGCGCGGCUUCUCCCGCCGGGUACGCAACCCUGCACCCCUUUCCUGUGACCUGCAGCGAAGCUCGGCGGCAGACCGGGUAUUCAACUGGCCAGGAGUUCUCGAGGCGCAGGUGCGGGUGUGCAGGGACGCGCGCGGUGAGUUUGCAGUUCCUGCCGGCUCCAGCAACAUCCCGGGUCAGUCCGAACUCCGAAGGCGCCAAGGCAGGGAGGGACCAGUAGGUGAAGGGCAGCCGCCCUCUUGCGCCGUUUCAGUCCUCCAGUCGCUGUUGAAUGGAGUUUCCGUCUCCAGUCUCAGCCAAAGCAGGCAAGGCGGACAACCUCGGCCUGGCAACCAGAAGUAUCAUUCCUUGAUUCAGGAUCAGGCUCAAGAGUUAACCCACCUACGGCAGAAGAUGAAGCUUGGGAGAGUGGCCUCUGUUCUUCUCAUCCAGCAUGUCAAGAACACACUAAAGACCUUUGAGGAGCUACUCCAGAGCAAUAACAUUGACCACUAUAUGGAGCAGCACUACUGCAAGCAGCUGGCCAAAGGAAGCCAGCUGGCAGAGAGCCUUGCCAGAAAAUUCAGCACAGUAUCUUGAGGAAGAUGCAUAAUAUGAGUAAAGUGACAGAAGUCCUAGAGACCAAGUGGGAUGCCCGGUCCCAGACUCAGCCCCAGAUCUGGUGCAGCAACCACACCCGGUCUACCCCACAUCACUCCCUGAGCAGCACGUCUCCACAGCUUGACAAGGAGGAAGUGCAUCCUUCAGUGACUGUAGUCAAUGCCAGCCCUGCCAUUUCUGCUGAUUCAGCUGCUUUGCCCAGCAACCAAGGAACCAGGUCUGCCCAGCCCUUCCAUCCUUCGAGCGGCACUGGCCCAGCAGAGCAGGACACUAGAACACGGUAGCAGUGGCCCAUGGGAAGAGAUGAGGCCUCAAAAAAUGAAUGCAUCUGGAGACCUAGCCUCCUUCUCCUCUUUGUACCAACCCAACUCCGAAACCUCUGGUAAAACACAAAGGAGCAUUUAGUGAAAUCGAGCCCAUUGGUAGGAAUGACACAUUCCUUUCCUGGCCAGAGGAUUUUUUGGUUCCUCUGUUAGAACCUGGUUCAUAAAAAAUGACAGGACAAUAUGUAGAUCAGCCAGACAGUGAGAACCAGCUCAGUGCUUGUUCUUUGAAAGUGCCUUCUCCUAGCCACCCUACCUAGGAACUCACUCUGGGCAGGAGAGUAGGAGAAGUCAGGGACAUUCUGAGGUGCUCUACAAGGAGGAUAAGUUACCUCACACUUAAAUGUUGCCUUCUCUCUGUGCUACAACCUUCUUAGGCCUAGAUUAAGACUGUCCUGGAAUGCUAAGCUCAGAUUUCCAUGGGGAAGGUCUUCCUUAGGUCAGGAGCUACUGUCGGAUGGGAAACUAUUUCUACAGAGUCACCCAGCCCUACACACUCUUUCCACUCUUUCACACACAUCUUUCACACACACUGUGCAUACAACCACGUGCCAAUCCUGCCCCCAUAAAUAUUGCUUUUGGAUUUGGAACCAAACAUCCUGGCACCCGGCAGCUAGGAGUGCAGCUAUUUAGAGGAAUGGCUUGAAGCAGCUCCAUUUCUGUGUCCCAGGUAGUGUAACAAUAAGACAUUUUAAAUUCUCAGAGAAAAGCCUGACCCUACGCAAAAUCUCCCAGUGGGUGAAGCCUAUUCUCAGCCUCCUCUCUCUGUGCAUCUUUUUCCUUCCUUGGAGAUUGUUCCCUUCUCUCCUGUUCCCCCACUUCAGAUCCUGAUACCUUCCCAAGCUCUUCCAUGUUCCUCUUUGCCAAAACUGGUUAAAGGAGAACAUUCACUAUCACUCAUUAUUCACAGCCUGGUUUAAUUUCAUAUGCACUUACCUUGGUCUUUCUGUCUGUGAGUGAGUGAAAUCUCAAAGGCUGUUGAGUCGGGAUCAUCAUCGGGGAGAGGGAUGAGGUAGAGAGGGAGAUUCUCUGGAUUGUUUUCCAUACCAAGGAGGUAGACAGCCUUUCCCAUUACUAGGCCAGUUCUGCCUAGAGGCCUUUAGCAGUUUCUCACCCUGUGUCCAUCUCCCUUAGAUGUACUUGGUGGUCUCUGUCUGGGAGGAGGCCUGUGGUGUUUCCUUACAGGGGGCCACCCUGUGAUUGAAAGCCCAGGACUUUUAAGUAAAGUUGCCUGGUGCUUCCUGAAUGCCCAGGAGAGAGGAAGAAGCUGACAGAAGGAUAGAGAUAGGUAGGGAUCUUGCAGAGAGAUGCCACGCAGGCCCCACAGCUGCCCAGGGAUGAUCAGGCUUCCCUACCUCCUACCUCUCCUAUGUCUUGGUGUUUGCAGUAGGGGCAGACCUGCUGGAAAAGAAUCUUGCUGAGAUACAGAACCUGCGCCAGCGCCUGGAGGAGUCCAUCAGUCUCAAUGACCGCCUGAGGGAGAGGCUGCAGCAUGUGCUUAGCAAUGGUGACCAAGGAAAAGGUAGAAAGGCAGAAAUUUUAUGUUUCUGUCCACGUCUAGGGAGUCUCAAAAGGGCACAUAGCUUCUUGGGGCAGAGUUUUACCGGUUUAAAGCACAUUGGUGUGCAUGAUUUCACUUGUUCCUUACAAUUAGCCCAGAUAGGGAAGCAGAAGGGUACUAUUGCUCCCACUGAGUGGUUUGCCCCAAGCAGGGAUAGGUCUAAUUCUCAGGACUAUCUGAAGUGAUGUCAUUCUUAUAUGUCCUUAUACUGCCUGGUGCUGUUCUUGGGCUUGUGGCCUGACUGGCGAGUGGUAGCACCAAGGUUUCCAUGGUGCCCACUUCAGCAGAAUGAGAGCAACGUUCCACCUUUAUGCCAUUACUACAUGCCUUUGAUAUCACCUGGCUCUUCUCUUGUGCUAAUGACCCUUAUUUCCACACUCUUCACCCUGGAUGCUCUCACUUGGAGACCAGUUCUUCCCCAUCCCUUCUUCUCUCAUAUUAAAGCCAGAAGAAUGAUGACCUACAACAUCAUAACUGAAGCCAAUUAGUGGGAAAGACCCUGAUCCAUACCUGAAGCCACUGCACAUGAGAGUGUGUUGCCUACUCUGGUGUGCCCAGCAAAACCUGAGCCUGAGCCAUAUUGCACUGCUAUCCCAGUGCAGGAGGACCUCAGGUUUUCAGAUUAGCUGAGACUAAAACUUUAAUGGAUGCAGGAAAGUACAUCUUUGAAAGUAUCUGUUACCUAAAGGUAUGACUUGUCUGGGUUGUUUUUAUUCCCUGUGAAGUAUCUACCUCCAUCUUCCAUGGGUAGGACCUGUAGUCCACACCCUAGUUGUGCAACAGGAAAAGGGCUCAGGGAAGCAAACUGGAGUUUUCAGGCUUCCAGAAGGAAAAAAUCAAAGCUGAAGUCACUUCCAUAUUUCUUCCUUUCUGCAGCGAUGCCCAGUUGUAGAAGCAAAGAGAAGUAGGCAGCACAAAAGUUGACCAGAUCCACACAGCCUAAAACUAUAAUAGCUUAUUCCCAAUCUAGAUAAGGCUGCUUCUUAAAAGAUCCCACCUACAUGUUCGCAGACUCCUGGCUCCAGGAGUAAAUAUCUCUGGAAAAUCUACAUGUCAUGUUUAAGUUCCUUUCCCAAUCUUUGCAGAUAAUCAGAGAGUCACUAGCUGUCAACUAGAAAGCUUGGUGUCUCUCUUCCUGUCUUUCCCACUUUCACCUGGGUACGGAAUAGGAGAGAAGAAAUUAAGUUUUUGUUUGGUACAAUCAAUGAAUCUCCUAAAUCCCUCCAGACUUCAUUGCAGCCCUGUCUCUCCCUCCCUAGGUACUGCACAGUCCACUGUAGCCCCUCAUUCAUAUACUCAGAGUCACUCUUCUGGCUGUGGUGAGGACAUCCUGUGACAUGAUGCCUAGAGAGUCUGGAAGAAUGUUCUCCAGAACUUUUCCAGCCCUAUCCAACAGAAUUCUUGGGUGGGAACUUGGAGGCAUUGGAUAUUAUCUUUAAAUGAAGAGAUCAAAUUAAUAAAUUAUUUUUAAAAUUAGUGUUUAUAUUUAUUUAUUGAACACCUAUAAAGAGUAAAAUUUGUGUAGAAAAGAAUAAAACCAGAAUGGUCUGAAAUGUGUGGAAAAGCUUAAAGGAGAAAUGAGUUUUCUUUAUUAGCUAUCUCUGUUUCAGAAGACUAGAAUGGGAAUUUCACUGCUGUGGGAAGGUAAGAAAUAUUAAUAGAUAGUGAGGAUGUAGAAUUCCUUGACUUCCAUUACAUGCUUAGGAAGAACAGAAAAACUGUCACAUGUGAAAGGAUUGCAGAAUAAAAUCUGAAUGUUUUAAAAUGAGGACAACUUACCAUACCAGGUGAGCUUCACUCAAGAGAAUGACAGAACUCGUGAAGAGCACGCUUGCCUCGAGCCUGGAAUAUAGCCAUUCUGACUACUGUGAGAUGAUAUCUCACUGUAGUUUUAAUUUGCAUUUCUCUGAUGAUUAGUGAUGUGCAUUUUUUCAUAUGUUUGUUGGCCGCUUGUAUGUGUUCUUUUGAUAAGUGUCUAGCCAUGUCCUUUGCCCAUUUUUUAAAUAGGGUUAUUUGGUUUUGUCUUGUUGAUUUAAGUUCCUUAUAGAGUCUGGAUAUUAGUCCUUUGUCAGGUGCAUAGUUUUCAAAUAUUUUCUCCCAUUCUGUAGGUUGUCUGUUUACUCUGUUGAUUAUUUCUUUUGCUGUGCAGAAGCUUUUUAAGUUUAAGUCCCAUUUGUCAAUUUUCGUUUUUGUUGCAUUUGCUUUUGAGGUCUUAGUCAUAGGCCAAUGUCAAGAAGAGGUUUUCCUAGGUUUUCUUCUAGCAUUUUUAUAGUUUGACGUCCUAUAUUUAAGUCUGUAAACCAUCUGAAUUAAUUUUUGUAUAUGGUGGGAGGUAGGGGUCCAGUUUCAUUCUUCUGCAUUUGGCUAGCCAGUUUUCCCAGCACCAUUUAUUAAAUAGGGUAUCAUUUUCCUCAUUGUUUAUUUUUGUCAACUUUGUUAAAGAUCAGUUGGUUGUAGGUGUGUGACUUUAUUUCUGGGUUCUCUAUUCUUAUCCAUUGAUUCAUGUGUCUAUUUUUGUGUCGGUACCUUGCUGUUUUUGUUGCUAUAGCCUUGUAGUAUAGUUUGAAGUUAGGUAAUGUGAUGCCUCCGGAUUUGUUCUUUUUGCUUUGGAUUGCUUGACUAUUUGGGCCGUUUUUUGGUUCCAUGGGGAUUUUUUUUUUUUUUUUUUUUUUGAGACAGGGUCUCACUCUGUCACCCAGGCUAGAGUGUAGUGGCAUGAUCUCGGCUCACUUCAACCUCUGCCUCUGGGUUCAAGUGAUUCUCCCACCUCAGCCUCUUGAAUUAGCUGGGACUAUAGGUGUGUGCUACCACGCCUGCUAACUUUUGUGUGUUUUGGUAGAGAUGGGGUUUCACCGUAUUGGCCAGGCUGCCCUUGAACUCCUGACCUCAAGUGAUCCUCCUGCCUCAGCCUCCCAAAGUGCUGGGAUUACAGGUAUGAGCCACAAUGUCCAGCCCCAUAAGAAUUUUAUAAUUUUUUUUUUUAAUUCUGUAAAAAAUGACAUUGGUAACUUGAUAGGAAUUGCGUUGAAUCUUUAGAUUGCUUUGGAUAGAAUGGUCAUUUUAACAAUAUUGAUUCUUCCAGUCCACAAGCAUGGAAUGUUUUCCCAUUUGUUUGUGUUGUCUAUUAUUUCU
rnacentral:lncRNA from 1 species